GGAGCUCAGUGACAGAGCAUCCGACUUGCAGGCAGAAGAUCCCAGGUUCAAUUCCUGGCAUCUGCA